GACGAACGCUGGCGGCGUGCUUAACACAUGCAAGUCGAACGGAAAGGCCCUGCUUUUGUGGGGUGCUCGAGUGGCAAACGGGUGAGUAACACGUGAGUAACCUGCCCUUGACUGUGGGAUAACUUCAGGAAACUGGGGCUAAUACCUGAUAGGAGCUCCUGCUGCAUGGUGGGGGUUGGAAAGUUUCGGCGGUUGGGGAUGGACUCGCGGCUUAUCAGCUUGUGGGUGGGGUAGUGGCUUACCAAGGCUUUGACGGGUAGCCGGCCUGAGAGGGUGACCGGCCACAUUGGGACUGAGAUACGGCCCAGACUCCUACGGGAGGCAGCAGUGGGGAAUAUUGCACAAUGGGCGGAAGCCUGAUGCAGCAACGCCGCGUGCGGGAUGACGGCCUUCGGGUUGUAAACCGCUUUCGCCUGUGACGAAGCGUGAGUGACGGUAAUGGGUAAAGAAGCACCGGCUAACUACGUG
rnacentral:rRNA from 1 species